rnacentral:rRNA from 1 species
GAUGAACGCUGGCGGUAUGCUUUACACAUGCAAGUCGUACGAGAGUUUUUAACUCAAGUGGCGGACGGGUGAGUAACACGUAAGAAUUUGCCUUUAGGAGGGGGAUAACAACUGGAAACGGUUGCUAAUACCCCAUAUGCUUUUGAGUGAAACGGUUUUUCCGCCUAAAGAGAAGCUUGCGGCUGAUUAGCUUGUUGGUGAGGUAAUGGCUCACCAAGGCGACGAUCAGUAUCUGGUUUGAGAGGACGAUCAGACACACUGGAACUGAGACACGGUCCAGACUCCUACGGGAGGCUG